AUGUGAAAUCCCCGGGCUCAACCUGGGAACUGCAUUGGUGACUGCAUCGCUUGAGUAUGGCAGAGGGGGGUAGAAUUCCACGUGUAGCAGUGAAAUGCGUAGAGAUGUGGAGGAAUACCGAUGGCGAAGGCAGCCCCCUGGGUCAAUAUGACGCUCAUGCACGAAAGCGUGGGGAGCAAACAGGAUUAGAUACCCUGGUAGUCCACGCCCUAAACGAUGUCAACUGGUUGUCGGGUCUUCAUUGACUUGGUAACGUAGCUAACGCGUGAAGUUGACCGCCUGGGGAGUACGGUCGCAAGAUUAAAACUCAAAGGAAUUGACGGGGACCCGCACAAGCGGUGGAUGAUGUGGAUUAAUUCGAUGCAACGCGAAAAACCUUACCUACCCUUGACAGAACGGAAUUCUGUAGGUGGAA
rnacentral:rRNA from 1 species